AAUUUGCGUUAGGGAUAGCAGUGGAAAUCCUUUUUUUGGGCGGGUGUGGGCUUUUUCUGCCCUUACCCGCCCAAAAAAAGAUUGGAACGGAUAGCCCGACCCUUG
rnacentral:sRNA from 1 species